rnacentral:rRNA from 1 species
GAUGAACGCUGGCGGUCUGCUUAACACAUGCAAGUCGAACGGGUACUUCGGUACUAGUGGCGGACGGGUGAGUAACGCGUGAGAAUCUAGCUUCAGAAUGGGGACAACAGAGGGAAACCGCUGCUAAUACCCGAUGUGCCGAAAGGUGAAAGAUUUAUCGUCUGAAGAUGAGCUCGCGUCCGAUUAGCUAGUUGGUAGGGUAAAAGCCUACCAAGGCGACGAUCGGUAGCUGGUCUGAGAGGAUGACCAGCCACACUGGGACUGAGACACGGCCCAGACUCCUACGGGAGGCAGCAGUGGGGAAUUUUCCGCAAUGGGCGAAAGCCUGACGGAGCAAGACCGCGUGAGGGAGGAAGGCUCUUGGGUUGUAAACCUCUUUUCUCUGGGAAGAAGCUCUGACGGUACCAGAGGAAUCAGCAUCGGCUAACUCCGUGCCAGCAGCCGCGGUAAUACGGAGGAUGCAAGCGUUAUCCGGAAUUAUUGGGCGUAAAGCGUCCGUAGGUGGCAAUUCAAGUCUGCCGUUAAAACCAGUGGCUUAACUACUGAGGGGCGGUGGAAACUGAAUAGCUAGAGUGUGGUAGGGGUAGAGGGAAUUCCCAGUGUAGCGGUGAAAUGCGUAGAGAUUGGGAAGAACACCGGUGGCGAAAGCGCUCUGCUGGACCACAACUGACACUCACAGGACGAAAGCUAGGGGAGCGAAAGGGAUUAGAUACCCCUGUAGUCCUAGCCGUAAACGAUG